rnacentral:rRNA from 1 species
AGUGAACGCCGGCGGUAGGCCUAACACAUGCAAGUCGAACGGCAGCACAGUAAGAGCUUGCUCUUACGGGUGGCGAGUGGCGGACGGGUGAGGAAUACAUCGGAAUCUACUUUUUCGUGGGGGAUAACGUAGGGAAACUUACGCUAAUACCGCAUACGACCUACGGGUGAAAGCAGGGGAUCUUCGGUCCUUGCGCGAUUGAAUGAGCCGAUGUCGGAUUAGCUAGUUGGCGGGGUAAGGGCCCACCAAGGCGACGAUCCGUAGCUGGUCUGAGAGGAUGAUCAGCCACACUGGAACUGAGACACGGUCCAGACUCCUACGGGAGGCAGCAGUGGGGAAUAUUGGACAAUGGGCGCAAGCCUGAUCCAGCCAUACCGCGUGGGUGAAGAAGGCCUUCGGGUUGUAAAGCCCUUUUGUUGGGAAAGAAAAGCAGCAGGUUAAUACCCCGCUGUUCUGACGGUACCCAAAGAAUAAGCACCGGCUAACUUCGUG